rnacentral:lncRNA from 1 species
CUUGUAAGUAGUUUGUUGCUUUAAAACCAGGAUUGAGGGAUGAGUCAACUCCUCAUUGUGAAGCGUCGACUCUUCACGAACAAAAACCUUUGAUUGAGGAGAUUCCGAUCUUGUUGCUUCACGGUUCUCUAGAUUUUUAUUUGGAGACCGCUUCCUCUUUUCCUUAGAAGAUCCUAUCCCCAAAAUAGGUUGCGAAGCAACCACUAUUUUUAUUCAAUUUGAACCCUCAAUUUCCUCAAUAUUAGUCAUUAGUGGA